rnacentral:rRNA from 1 species
AGCGAACGCUGGCGGCAGGCCUAACACAUGCAAGUCGAACGAAGUCUUCGGACUUAGUGGCGGACGGGUGAGUAACACGUGGGAACGUGCCUUUAGGUUCGGAAUAACUCAGGGAAACUUGUGCUAAUACCGAAUGUGCCCUUCGGGGGAAAGAUUUAUCGCCUUCAGAGCGGCCCGCGUCUGAUUAGCUAGUUGGUGAGGUAAAGACUCACCAAGGCGACGAUCAGUAGCUGGUCUGAGAGGAUGAUCAGCCACAUUGGGACUGAGACACGGCCCAAACUCCUACGGGAGGCAGCAGUGGGGAAUCUUGCGCAAUGGGCGAAAGCCUGACGCAGCCAUGCCGCGUGAAUGAUGAAGGUCUUAGGAUUGUAAAAUUCUUUCACCGGGGACGAUAAUGACGGUACCCGGAGAAGAAGCCCCGGCUAACUUCGUGCCAGCAGCCGCGGUAACAC